rfam:Octopus bimaculoides Scaffold50835_contig_24, whole genome shotgun sequence.
GUUUACGGCCAUAUCACUUUGAAAACACCGGUUCUCGUCCGAUCACCGCAGUUAAGCAAAGUCAAGCCUAGUUAGUACUUAAAUAGGUGACGUUUUGAGAAACCUAGGUGCUGUAAACA